ACCUUUAAAAGCUUGCUUUUAAAGGUUAGCGGCGGACGGGUGAGUAACACGUGGGCAACCUACCUGUAAGACUGGGAUAACUUCGGGAAACCAGAGCUAAUACCGGAUAAUUCUUUUCUACACAUGUAGAAAAGCUGAAAGACGGUUUCGGCUGUCACUUACAGAUGGGCCCGCGGCGCAUUAGCUAGUUGGUGAGGUAACGGCUCACCAAGGCCGCGAAGAGUAGCCGACCUGAGAGGGUGAUCGGCCACACUGGGACUUAGUCUCCGCCCAGACGACUACGGGAGGCAGCAGGUCAGCUUGUGAUUNACUCGAGCCAU
rnacentral:sRNA from 1 species